UCCACGUGUAAACCUCUUAAGGGCUUUUCUCAUAAUAUCAUUAGAGCACAAUGUGGCUUCUAAACCAUCACUUACAUCCCCAUUCUGUUUCUACACGUGAGUAAUCUUAAAUACCAUCAAGAUAUUUCUCUUGUAAAUUACAGCACAUAACAGCACUAGUAUUUUUGAAUAAUACAAAAACAUACAUGAGAUUUGAUCCAACUGGUGAAGAUAUAAUUUAGAAACUAGGAAGAGUCCACAAUAUUCAGGAAAGUUCCUGUUCACAUUUUUGGUUUUUCAUUCAAACUUGCAUACAUUUAAAGGCAUGCAACAAAGAUAUUUAAAUUGAAACAUAGUUGAAACUUGAAAGAUAGCAUAAAGGCAAGGGCAAUGAGCAAUUACCCAGCUUUUGUCAUGCCAGCCUCUUCUAGGACCUUAGCAUUGUUGCCUUGCUGGGAGGGUGAAGGGUGGAAGAAGAGGCAAAUAGCUGUGAUGUCAUCCGUUGCAACACCCCGUUUCUUUCGUUUCCAUGCAUCAACUGCACAUUCCACCAGCCUUUUAGCAGAUUUGUUUCGGUCUGGUGCUGAAGAAACAAUCUCAACUGCCUCUUGGUUAGAGAUGACAUCCCAUACCUGAACACAAAAGCCAAGCAAUUGCCCAAUAAUCCAGAACAAUUUGUCAUUUAUGGGUUUUUCACUAAGAUCAAAUCUACUUAAAAUCUAACCUUUGCCAAACCAAUUUAAGAAAGUAAUGCUUUGAUGUAAAAUUUGGAACCGGAAACAAUGAAAGGCAUACCCCAUCUGUGGCUAAAAUGGCAAAUUGGUCUCUGCUGGUUAUAUUUCUUUGUGUGACUUCAGGCACGGAAAUAACCCCAAAGUCCUUCAUGCAGUAGUCACCAAAGGCUCUUGAUAUUGCUAGCCCUGGCGUCUUUGUAUUUGGCAUCCAAACCCUGUACACCCCUGGUUCAUCUUGUAAGCAAUAUACCUGCCCUCUGGACUUAGUUAUUCGCUCAGCUUCCUCUGUAACCAAGAUGAAUAUGAGUGUAAAAUUAAUAUUAUCGAUGUAUACUUAGUAUAACUUGUUAACACAACACCCCACAAACACAUGUAGAGAAGGAGAACUAACGAGGUAAAUUGGGCUUAAAGUCGACAGUAAGUUGAACUGCUACCAGGCUGCCAUCAUCAGACGUGGUUCCCAACACAGCCCGAGAAUCACCAACAUUUGCUAUGAUAAUGAGUUCUCCCUGAAAAAGUUAAUGUGGCAAGGCUGAGGCAACUUUCUGCUUGAAUCUAAAAAUUUCUAAUAUCUGAUAGUCUUUUAAUUUAGUUUUCCAAACCAAUAAAAUUUUCAAGGGACAACGGUAUAGAUUAUCCAGCUCAGUCCAGAAUGAUCUUAGAAAUCCAUUUUCCUAUCUUCAUUAAAAUAUCUGUAACUUGCUUUUGGUUGGUAGACAAAGAAACAAGGGUGGCAAAGAAGAUACCACCUAUUGAAAUCAUUUUAGACAACCUCGACCUUAUUUGUAGCUCUAAACAGAGGGUUGGCCUUGACCACAUGGGAAACUAAUUCAAACUAGGACAUGCCCGGGAAUUCCCAUACAAACUAGAGGUCUGUUCCUCAUCUGUACAAAUUAACCUCAAGCUUUUCAAUAUGUCACUUCAGCCAAAGCAUCUUCUGCAUCUUAAAACUCCUUUUUCUUUCUUUAAUUUCAGUAUUUGACAACAGAAGACAUAACAUUAGAUAAAGCUGAAUGGUGGUCAAGGAAUCAUGUAGCGGACUUUGAAAUUUGGGUUACGAGGUUUUGUUAUUUCAAUAAUAACACGAAGGAAAUCUACUAGAAGUGAUAAAACUGAAAACAAGAAUCAAUUCAAAAGAACAAUAAUGAAAUGACUAAUCAAACCAAGCAGUUAUCUGCUCAAAUUAGAUAUUAUGCAGCUACCUGUCGAACAAUUGUCAAAGCUGUGGUGCCACUGCGAAAAGAAUCAAGAUCUGCAUGCUGCUCGAGCUCCUCAUCAAUGGCAGCACAAGUUUUCAAGUAGGAUUGCCUCCAUAUAUCAAAUGGGCAAAGGUUUCUAUCAAGUCCCAUCAUGUCAAAACCCUGAGCAAGUGCAAGAGUUUCUUGCCAAUGGCAUAACAAAAAUGAUGGCAUCAAUUUCCUGACCCUUUUGGCUACAUGGUGCCCCCACAAGCCAUGCCCAUCAAAAAUCCCACAAAAGGUCAUGUCUUCUUGGCAUCCAAACUCCUACCAACCAAACCAGAAUUUGUGGAUCGAUUAGAAACUAAAUGGUAAUUAUCAUUUUCAAAGAACUGUUCUAGAUUCUAAUAACAAGUUUGCCAUAUAUUGACUUUGAGAUAUGAUUGGCAUACCUCCCACACAAUGAAGCAAUCUUGAUUCACUCCUUUCUUUCCUUUCUUGGAGAAGACAGAGGCAAAAUUACUAGAGCCCCUUGAAUUUAUAAUGCCUGGAGAAGUCAACAUCAAAUUGUUCCCCCUUGCUUCCUUUGCUAACGAUUCAGCAGCUUCUCUUCCAACAUCACUCCUCCAGCUCUCCCCUUUCAUGAGUGAUAUAUUCCGCAUCAAUGCGUCAAAAAGAGCCAAAAGAUUCUCCAUCGGCCUUCCCUCCAAAUCACACCUGCAAAUUACAUGGUAUUUUCCAAUCUAUUUACUCAGAUUAUCAAAUAUGAAAAUGACUCUCAUGUCUACUGAGUACUGGAAGAAGUAAAUGAAUUCAUUUGUUACAAUUACAUUCCAAUCCAAACAAUAGAAAAAGUAAGAUAGAAAAUUUUCUUUCGUUUUCCUCCUUCCUUUGCUACCAAACAUAAAUAAAUUAAAGCAAAAUACGAAGUGCAAUGACUGAAGGUCAACUUGAAGCUAAAAAGUAUUCACACUCGAAAGGAGCCCAACGGAACCAAAAGGAAAGACAGGAAGAUUUGAAAACCAUUCCUCCCCACACAGAACCGAGGGAAAGAAAACCUAUCCUCUCAGCUGAGUCCUUGGUCUAGUUUUUGCAAGUACAAACAAUGAAAAAUUUUCUCUGGUUUCCCCGACCAAACAUGGUCUUAAUCUACUGCCUCUAAAUAACAUAACCAACUGAUGUUCAGAGAACUAACACACAACCUUGUUUUUCCGCGGUGGUCAAAGACCGAUCACGCCGUCCCGGAGAUCUCUCCGGAGAACUAUUGCCAAACCAACUGAUAUUUCCAAUUCUAGCAUCUAAAGCAUAGCUUUUACCGGGAAGGGCCAUUUUUCAUUUAAGUAAAAUAGUAAUCAAAAUAUUUUAUUCAGAUUUGGUCUGAAAGAAAAUUAUAAUAUGGAUUAGGACAAAAUAGUAAAAUAAUUUUUUUUUUUUGAAUGGAAAUUGACUCAAAUAAAAAAUGUUUGUUCUGAAUUAAUUACAGUUUUUACGUGGAUGGAAAUUGAGGCUAAUUAAAAAUGCUUAUUUUAGAAGAACAGUGGGAAUUGAAUAAAGUUUUUCUUGUGGAUGGGAAUUCAUGAUAAUUUUAAAAAAUAUUUUGAAGAAGUCGUAAUGCAAUUACAUAAUUCUUGGCGAAGGAAAUGGAAUUAGUAAAUAUAAGUUCUUUUUCGGAGUGGUUAGAAGUAAUGACAUCAUGAAAGUAGUACAUUAAGUAUUUUAAACAAGGGUUUGGUUAUGGUAGUGUGAUAUCCAAGGAAAGUAGGCUAGACCAUUUAAUUUGAAAGCAAUUAUGGGUUUUUUUUUUGUGACAAUUACGAUUGUUCCUAUCAACUAUGUUUGAUAAUAUUAUAACUCUGGAAGGCAUGAUGUUUCAUCUUUAAGUUCUUGUCGAGUAAAUAUUAUGCAUGUAAUUCAUAAGUACAUGUAAUGGAAUGAAAUGUAAAUAGAAAGGUUUCCAUUGUUUUUGUUUAUACUAAAGUUUAUAUAAAGGUGAAUCUAAUAAGAACUUUAAGAAAAGAGGAUCUACAAGUUAUAAUGAAUAUUUUUUCACCUAUUCUUAGAAGAACCUUUUUUUGUCCCGUUGAUCCCAUUAUUUUUUUGUUGUUUUGUACCUGACAUUUUAUAUUAUGGUUUUCCCUUCUUUUUUUUUUUUUUACACUUUUAACCCCCCAUUUGCUCGUUACCCCCCAUUCGAUGACCCAAAUUUUACCAUAUGGCCUAAAUUAAAAGCUCCACGUGGUGCCACCAUAGAGUUUUCCAAACAAGAAAGUAGAUUUGAAAUAAGAGGAGAAGGCUAGGUUGUGUGUGAUGCUAUACCGAAACAAACAUUUUAUGGAGAAAUAUCAUCCUGAAUUUUACAGUGUACCUGCAAAGCCUCCAAAGGUAAAGCAAUAAGUGUUUUUGGAGACAAACGUUGCUUCCGGAUGCAGGAAAAGAGAUUCACCGAAGCAACUACUUUCAUGAAGUUUUAUACAACUGACGAUAAAUGAUUGACCUAAAAUACAUUAACCCCAAGUGGGGGAUUAAUUAUCAGCCACAUUAGACCUUCUCUCUAUCAUUUUUUGUAUUCAUGCUAACAAAUACUUACAACAUUGGGGGAGCCGUGUCUGUCAUGAACCUGAAAUCUUCACUUCACAUGACCGAGAAAAUGAUGGAUCUCAGGAUAACAUGCUGUGUCUUUUGAGUAUUAUAUCCGGGGAGGUACAGCUACAACGUGAAGGGCAGGGACCCCAUCUGCCGUGAAACUCUUUAAUUAGUGUGUAGGAAAAAACUCAGUGAAAGACUUGAGGAGAGGCAUAGUACUCGCUCUCAUUGAACACAGGUCUUAAAUCUUCUUUGCACAUGAAAUCUAAGGGGAAAUAAACAAGAUGACCCUUCACCGACUCUAAUCUUUCCAUGGGUUCGAUUGUCUUCAUGUCUCCAUUGUCAUAGGAUUCUAGCUUCAUAGGGGCUAUUCCUAAAUCAAUGGUGGUGUGGCCAAGUUUCUCCUUCCAGAUGGCCAUAUGUUGUCUCAUUGCAGCUCUGCAUGUGAUGAAGAUGAGAUGAAAAAGAGGUUAGCAGGGAGAAAAGAGAAUGUGAGAUGAAGAUCAGAGCUGCUUCAUACCUAGAAUGUAUGAGAUCGUUUGGGAUGCAAGAAAAGACAUCUUGGUAGAUUGUGGAAUUCGUCUGUCAAGGUUAAACACCCAUAAAUGGGAGUUAAUUAGAGAAAGAAUCAAGAGCAACAAACAAAUGAAAAAGACUCGAGCACAAUAGUAUAUCAACAUAAAGAUGUCUACACCGUUGGGAAGAUUUAGCAUGCACAAAAAAUUUGUCAUUUUCAUAUGCAGGGAAUUAUCUUUCAUAAAUUAAAAUAAAAAUGCAAAUCUUCUGAAUAAAAAUAAAUGCUUUCCCCACUCUCGGCGUUGACUUAUCCCAUCCAGAGAAUACUGGGAAAAAGAAAAGAAGGGGGAAAAAAAGAGUGGCCUAUAUAGAAGUUAAAAAGCCCAUAAAAUAUGGGCCAUAAAUUAGAGAAAAAUAUUUAAGCAAAAUUAUGUAUCAUUAAUAUAGUUAGUAAAGAAUCCUGAAAUUCUCAAAUUCAUUUCUAUUGGUUUGAUGUUGAGGAAAGUAAUGUAAAUGCUAACUUUGAAGUCUUUUGUUUAACAGUAACACUUUUCUUUUAGUUUUUGAUUCAGACCUUUGCAGUUGCCAUCCACACAUCUCUGUAAGUUGAAUCAACAACUGGAUCUUUUAUUUGAUCAAUCUGGAAAAAGAAAUAAAGAACAUACAGUCAGCCAAAUGAUAUGAGCUAUAGUUAGUUCCUCUUCAUUGAUGCUAUGGUUUGCUACAACCAACCCUCAGUCGCAUGGGUGUGGUUCAGUGAAGGCUUUUGAAGAAAAGGCUAAGCAGCAAUUAUCAUAUUUAUGACUAACCUCUCCUCCUCGAAGACCAAGGUGUUCUGACCACAGUGAGAGGCGGAGACUAUGAGCAAAUUUGCCAGCCUUCUUUGGUUUUCCUCCCAUAUAUGAAUCAACCAAUUCCUUGUCUUCAAUGAGCACGCCAAUCUGAAAGAACAAACAGUUCAGUGAUAAUUAAGGUAAACCUAAUCAUAAAAAAAGAAAAAGAGAAGCAAGUUUACAUUUAGAACAGAAAACCGUAUCAUUAGGUGGGGAUAACUCCUAAUUUUGGAAUUAUUCGCAAUGACUAAGACAAUGCAGGGAAGAGAAAAAUUCAGAAACUUGGUAGCAACAAAAAGACAACACAAGAACAACAGUUCUGAAGAUAUUAAAUUCAAUUUACAGUUUAGCUAUUAAAUAUUAUAUUGACCAAUAUUCUGUAAUGCAAUCUGCUUAAGUUCACAAUCCUGGUUCAACAAUCUAUAUUGUUCACUUUAACCAUGAUAUUCCAAUAUUGAAAUUAAUACCAAAAUAAAUAAAUAAAUAAAGUUCUCACUAUACAUAAACUCAUGAUAUGCAAGGAAACCCCAUGGUGGAACAAUUUCAGGAGCAACUAGUUACCAAAAAGAGGACUAGUGAUGGAAUAGAUGGUUCAUUUGUCUGAACAGUCCAGGGUUUCAGAAUGCUGAUACCACCUCCUAGACCAUAAAGAAAAACCAACCUUUUUAAAAGCAUUCAAAAUGCAUUAAGCAUUAAUUUUAAACAAGAAACAGCUCUAAAUUGUUUGGUGAAAAGUACAAAAGAAAUUUCAAGAAAUUGAGAAACCUGUAUCAAAUUCUAACUUGGGAAAAAAUCCACAGCAAUGGAAAUGGUGAACCUUAGUGUAGCAAUCCAAUUAUACAUAUGCCUAAACUUUAACCUCCUCCUCUGAAUAUCACAUGGGCAUGUUUGGUUCUCUCUGAUAACAGUUUUUUAUUUUUAUUUUAAAAAUGAAGUAUAGAACUUCUAAAAUCUAUAUUUGAUUCACUUUUUUCAGAAACUAUUUUAUUUUUAUUUUCAAAACAGGUGCUUUAAGAGAACAGUAAAAUGUGGCUCUAAAGUUUAAUAAUGUUAUUGAAAACAACUCAACAAGAACUUCAAGUUGUCAUUGACAUUUAUAACCGGGAGAUAGAAGGAGAAAAACUAAUGCUACUUUCUUCCACUCAGGUCAGAGUUUCAGAUAGAAAACAAAAACAACUGGAAGUCAAGAGUUAAAUAGGAAGGAGCACUGAAACACUUUGAAGCUUGAUAGUUGGGAGAGCAAUCUUGGAACAAUGAGAAAUUGGAAGAAACUUAAAACGAAUAAUCCCUUUAGAACUUAUUAAGGCAAGGCGACACUUCCACAGCCAAAGCCUGUCCAUAAACUGAGAAGGACAAAAGAGAGAAUAAAGUUCAAAAAAAGGGCGAUAAAAUAUCCUCCAACUCCUGUAUUUAAAAUAAGGGGAAAAAAAUAAUUAUGACUGCUGAGCUUAAAAUCAGUUCAUUUCAAAUCUUGUAUUCCUGAUUCCAUUCAUUUUCAUUCAAAUUUCUGUGAUUAAUUCAAUGGUUCACAUAAAUUUUCUUGAUCACACAAUAUUGUAUUUAUAUUUUUAAAGACAUGUAAUUUUUUUUCAUGGGUAAUUUUUUUUGGUCUUCAUUGGGUCUCAAAACUUGGAACCUUUCACAUCUCUAAUACAACCCUUUGUGACAUGGGUCAGGCCAAAUGAGCAAAACAUGUGAAUUUUAACUGCAAAUUUGGAAACAAUUCACUCACAAAAUUCAUCAAUGUGCUUUUUAAUUAUUCAAUGGUCACAACUAUACAAAUUUUGAUUAUCCUCUGUCUUCUGAAAAAUUGUUCUCUAAUUUAUCUUACCAAAAGUGUUUUUGGAUAAAAAUUUUCUGAAACUCACAUGUGAAGAAACUAAUCAUGAUAAAUCAGAGUUGUGAACAAUAAAUUGAUCUCAUGCUCUAGAACUGAAAAGAAUGAAAUACCAAUAACAAAAAUUUUAUUCAUGCAUAUUAGGAGAUAGAUUGGAACGCUGUGAGAAAGGAAAGUAGUGGGCAUCCAAGAAGUUGAUAGUAUGAUAGACUGAUUCUUUGUUAUUGGAUGAUGACUGGAAUACACAACACUUCUAAGAUUAUUCCUAACGAUGAAUAAAGCUUAGAAAAUAUGCAAUUUCCUCAGUCUUCUUCAGUUACUAUAAAUAAAAUUUCAAAUUCUCUGGUUUUUUCCAUUUCUGAAGCUGAAAACAUGGGUUUUUUUUUUAAUCACAUAUGAUAGGUUUUAGCUCUGAAGCAUGAACCUGUAGAAGAAUGAAUAAGUAUAAAGCAAAGGGAUGCUUGAGAAGUGAUACCUCAGAAUCUCUUGAUCCAAGCAAACUCCUAUCAUUAAUGUUAGCGGAUCCAAUCAAGGUUGUGCAGUCAUCAACUAUCAUGAUUUUGCUAUGCACAUACACCUACAGAAACAAUAGGAAUAUAAUGUGAAAAAUGAUAUACCACUGAGUUCCAAGCUCAAUUGUUUUUCCCAUGUCCAUUAUAAAAAUUUAAAAAAAAAAACAUGAAAAAGAUGCAUACAAAUAGAUUUUGUAAUUGAUUAGGGAACAUUGAAAAUAAAUGUACAUAUGUGAUUAUGUGCAUCAGCAAAACACAAUACCUGACUAGAGGCCACAGGACCUCCAUCAAAAAGUCUACCAUAAGCUCUGAGACCAUAGAAAGAAAUGUAAUCAUGUGUUUUAUGACCAAUAACAUCAUAAAGAUUUUGUAAUAUUGAAUUAUUUCCUCGGCAUAUAGUUCGAUACUGCCAAUGCAUUAUGGCUCUUACAGAUGCCGCCCCACCAUCAUCCAAACCACCCUGUUGAAAUUCAAGACAAAAAUAAAAAACAAAUCUCUUUUAUUUCAAAUGUCAAGGAACUUAAUCAAGAAUAGUACCUGGAAGCCAGGUAGGAGUGGUAUGACAAUAAUAACUCUGAAACACUUCUUAUCAUUGUAUGCUUGCAUAAUACGCCUGUAUAACACUUCUAAUACUCGAUUGCGUAUUAUCUCAUCACCUGAAAGACCUGAUAUGAAAAAUUGAUUCUGGGAACAAGUUGCCCCAUGAGCAGAACAAAAAAUCAGAAACAUUAGCAGCUAAUUGGAACUUUUGCAGGCCUCCUUGGGAUGGAGAACCUCCCAAUAUUCAGUAAGAAAUCAAAGGUUCAAAAUAAAUAAAUUAAAUAGAUAUCCAAUUAUGAAGGAAAACUUGUCCAUAUAAAUGUCUUAGGAAGACAUCUAAGACCCUAACAUGCUGGUAAACUCAAGUGUAUAUGAGAAAUAUGUUUUCCUGUUUAUUACAUGCUUCCAUGCAUAUUUCUACAAGUGCAAAAAAAAAAAAAAAAAACAUCCAUCGCAUAUGGUUGUCAACUAAUCAUUCAUUAAAGAUGAAAAAGCUCAUCUCAUUCUAUACCUCAAUAUAUAUAAAGUGUUCUGCCUUUUCUAUAAGGGAGCAAUAAGCAUUAUGAGUGCUGUCUUCAACUUGGCUUGUUCCAGCAGACCACUGACUGACGCUCCUAAUAACCUGAAAGUGAGAUAUUAUUUCUGAUAGUUAAACAAAUAAUAUUAUAAUGAAAAAAGGAUUCAAUCCCAUAAAUAUGCUAGAGUGACAACAUAUAUAAAUUUAUGGGCUUUGUUUUUUGGUCCUCAUUGUGAAUAAGGGCUAAUUGUUAGGGUGCAACAAUUCUGCUCUUAAGCCCAAGGAUGGGUCACCUAAAUGAUGGCUCUUAGAAUAGACUCACAAGAUAUGAUGUUAAAUGCCAUAACAGGUUUUGCUUACCCUUAUUGGACACAAACAAGUUUUCAGAUGAGAUGAUUAGAGUCUAAUCCAAGAAUUAGUAUCAUUAACCUACCCUCACUAGACACCAAUUGGUUUUCAAAUGGGAUGGUUAAAGUUUGAUCCAACACUAAUCACAAAUAAGGUACCAUUGUGUUGGUAAUUGGCUGGUGCUACUUAGUUCCUGAAUGAACCACAAGAGCAAGGCACUAGCAGCUUUUCAAACCUUAAAUCCUUGUUUCCCUUUCUAAAUAUAAAUGUAUACCAACGUUAACUAGCUAUCCAAUUUCAUUCCAAAUCCCUUGCCACUUGCAAAUCUGAAGACACCAAAUGAUAAUACAGGUUCUAGCAGCCAACUAUACUUAAAAGGAUAUAGGAAAAAUAUAGCAAAAUAUUUUUAAUGUCAUAGAAUUGUGAGAAUAUAACCAAAAACCAAGAGUAAUAAUAAUAUUCUAUAUUAUAAGGAAAGGACUGUAGAGUACUGACAAGGUUGGCAGGGUGGAUUCUACAUUAAGAGGAAUCCAAUUUAGAAAUGUGACAAGAGGGCAGGGACUGACAAGGCAACAAACCAUCAUCACAGCAAGACUUAAAGCUAUGAAAUUCUAUGCCAGACUAUGACAUUCAAUAGUAAUUGGGUUGCACUCUCUCUUUUUUGUUACACCUAUCAAUUCAGAUCCCUAAUAUGCCUAUCAAAAGAAAAAAGAAAAAAGAAAAAUGAAAAAGCCUGUCAAUAAAAGGUUGACAUCCAUAGUCUGUAGAUACAGCAAAAAAAGAAAUGGAAAGAUUUGCAAUCUUCACCAUGCAGAUGUGAUCUAAUUCCAAAGUCUGACAACAUCACGGAAAUCUAAAAUUAACAUUUUGGACUACAUUGAGCUUUUUGACAGAUUGCUGAUCUCCCCUGAGGAAUUCACCAACACAUCCCCCCUUAGGCAACUACUAUUUUUAGUGCGAUAAACUACUCAUCUACUCCUGAAAUAAUAUAAAUUAUUUAAAUUAAAUAAAUGGUAUUUUCAACUUGGUUAAAAUGUGCAACUCCUGAUUGAGAGCAGAUAAUUGAUUCUACAUCCAAACCCCAGGAUUCACAUAUCAUAAGCAUAUUGAUAUUAUAGGAAUAUGUAGGUUGCUGAUAUUUGGCAUAAUUUAAGAUUUUAAAGAACUUCAAGAAUUAUAUAGUCAUAAUUUUAAGAAUUUUAAACCCCUUCAAGGUUAUAGCCUACCUGACAACGACAUGGAACGCAAGGACCAACUUGUCCAGUUUCAUCAGCAGAAAGAACUUGAUUCCCCCGCUCUUGUGUUUCCCACCACUCUCUAUCACACGUUCUCAUUCCAGGCUGUGCCAUUAUAUCUGAAGACAUUUUUCCUUUCAGAUCCAAGGUAUCAAGGUCAUCUACAAAACCUUUCAUUGGCAUAUCUGGGACUGGUUCAAUUUUGGACUUGCGAAAAGAGAAAGAAAGACUUCUGCUGACCCUAGUUGGCUGAUCAAGGAGAUUACUAGAGGAGUCAAACCCAUUCAAUUUUGAUUCUCCAUGGGGAGAAUCCAAUCCAUCAGGCUCUUGAGGCAAAAGCAGUGGGAUAUCUUGGAAAGAUGACCGAGAGGAAAAGGAAUCCAGUUUUUUAAUGUCUUUAUAGUUGUUUUCAACAUUCUUCUUUUCAACCUCCAUCUCUCUGCUCCUUCCCAUGUAAUGUGGAAUGACCAUGUGCUGCUGAGGCAUAAGUAGUGGAAUUGCUUGCUCAUUUGGAGCUUUAUUUCUCUGCAGAAAAGUAUGCUUGUAUUGAGAUAAAAGGUUUAUUAUACUUUUGAAAGAAGAACUAGGGAGUAUGUAGUGAAGACAUCAACCUUUGCAUAGUUCCAACGCUGAACAAAGUGCCUAGCUACAUCACGACAAGGCGGUCCCCAUAGGGCACAAUGGACGUCAUGCCAUGGCAUACGAGGAUAUUUUCCACGAUCCAAUUCAUCUUUCAUUGUAUCUUCCCAAGAAUUUGGUUCAGAUUCCCUGAAAUUGAAAAUUCAUUACAAGUUAUCCAAUGUGAAAGAGCCAGAGUGAAAACAAACUUGCAAUUACUUAGAAAAGAAGAAACUAUUGUCAAUGUUCUCACACAAACUAUGGAGCUUGUCACCCAUAUGUUUACAAGGGAAAGACAGUCUCUAAUAUCAAAACAUUUUACAAAAAAAAAAAAAAAAAAAAAAAAACUGAUUCAAAGCAUCUGAUUGAGGGAAUAGUGCAUAGACAAAGCAUGCAUCUAAAAAAAAUGCUUUUGAUUUUAAUCCAGCGUAGGAACAGCAGCAACUGGUCCCUUAAAAAUUCUUUAUCUUAAUAGUGAAUGAUCUUGUUGAUGAAAACCCAAAACACAGCAUACCAACCAAACAAAUACAGAUCAAUGAAAAGAGAACUAAUUUAAACUUCGAGAGAAAAGUACAGGAUCUAUAUUUAAAAUUGUCUUCCAAUAGUCAUCCAUUGCAAUAAACUUUCUGAAUCAGGAUCCAGAUAUUGAGAAAAGAACUUGCCUUGGGUUGUAAUAGUCUUUUCCUGGCCACAUCAAAGGAGGGUGAUCACCUACUUUGUGUUCCAAUGUGUCAUAACGGCCAAAGCAUAGAUCCAGACCUCCAAUAAAGCAAAUCUGGUAAUCAACAAUGACAAGUUUUUCAUGGUGGGACCUGUAUAUAAACAGAAAUGACAUCAGCAACUUCAAAAAUUCAUUACAACAGGAAAUACUAUAGCUCAAUUCUUACAUCUAUAGGACUUCAAAGUAAAUUACAUACCACAGAUAAACGCCAGUUGAGAAAUGAUCAGGAUAUCGCAGUACUCUCACAUUCUCAUGAAUGCUAAGAAGCUUCCUUUUACUGUAGACACUGUUGAUUUUCAAAGCAAGAGCAACCUCUUUGUAGAGAAGAAUGUAAAUCUGCAGUCAUAAGAUAAAUUAACACCAGCAUCCCUUCUAGUGGAUCAAAGUAGGUCCCAUAAUCAACAGAAAGAAAAAAAAAUGCAGGAAUAAUGAUUUCCAGAGUCCAUGGAUAUGGAGUUCAGUAAAGCUACAUGAGUUCUCAUGUUGUGGUAAAGUAAAGAUUUUGAUCAAUGAUAUCCAGUAUCCCUCCCUUCAAUCCAGGUCAGUGGCAUCCAUCUCUAGGAUGAAAUGUCAUGAGUUAAAAUAUCCAAAUGAAUAUCCACUAAGAGCAUAUUGAAAAUCAAUAACAAAUGAUUCACAGCCUAUCUUCAUAGUGGAAAACAUCGUCACUUGGUGCAUAAAUGAAUAUCCUGAAAAACCAAUGGUACAACUAUACCAAACUGUGGGUUUGAUAUAUUUAGAUGAUAUAAUGGAACAUAAAUAUGAACAACCAUUUAAGGAAUAAGGGUACCUGAACACCUUGCUUAGCUUUUGCUUCCAGUAAAGCAUCAAGCCGAGAAGAAGCAUGAGAGUGAAAUGGACGCCUCAGAUACAGUUCUGGGCACACCCACCAGCCACAAAUAAAUAUCUGCAUCGAAAUUUCAUCAUCUAAGAAUUGCUUUAAACUGACUACAACGAUAAUCAACCAAGACAGACCACAACUGCAUUAUGUGCUAUAGCAGGAAUCUACCUCUGAUUUUGCUUCCUCAAUUGCGGAGGCAAUCGCUUCAAAUGCCGCUCGACCAUCGACAAACCAUUGAGCUAGACUACCAUCUUCACUCAAACCCCUUGGAGGUGCAAAAGAGCCAAAGCGGUGAGGAUGACACCAGCCCUCAGGAGGCCUAAGUCCAGCAUCAUUAAUUGCAGCAACCCAGUCUUUAACUUUAGCACUACUCUUAGCUCUUAACCUUAUGCUCCGGUUUCCGCAUGUCACCUUUAGAAAUUUCCUGUUGUCUGUUAGAGAGUGAACUUCAUCUAUCCAACAACUAAACUAUAUAUCUAUCCAUAUAUAUGUUCCCAUAAAUUAAAUGGACCAAUUUAAUUUCAACAUGAAGAUGUGGUGGGAAAAAUUCAUCUCAAAACAUAGCAAAAUUUCUUCAGCCACUAAAAUUUCAUGUCACUUGCUCUGUGAGGAAAAAGGCAGCACAAGCCCUAAUAUCUAGCUGUAUAGGGGUAGAAUCAGGCAAAAGAAUUAAGUGGCUGUAGUCCCAAAACAACCCCUACAUACUCUAAAUUACUGCAAGAAAGAAAAUCAACCUUACUUUCCAAAUUAAGUGUCGAAGUUGUCGAAUAUGUUAAGGCCCUUGUUUUUUAGGUUCAAACCAGACAAUAAACAGAUCUUUAGUAAACCUACAGAAAUUUAUAAGCAUAACUUCCCUCUCAAAGCCAUUGCUUUAUUGCAGGGCUUCUGAAACAUGUGUUUCUAAUAAGCAGACUCCCAUACAUCAGUAAUCCAGUACCAUAUUAGUAGGUUUUCAGCUUCUCAUAUACCAUAAAUACAUAUCCUUUCAGUUAGAUCGAAUCAGAAGAUACCCCAAGCAUGGCACACUAUGGUUGGUUAGUUAAGAAAAUAGACUGUACACAUUGAGGUGGUGAUAUUGAAAUUUCCAAUAAUACAAUAGGAAGUGAAAUGAACCUAAAGGCUCACUGGAAAGGCCAGUAGCCUGUGCCUAUUCCAUUUAUGUGGUUCUGGGUGGAGUAGAACAACAAUAGACCUAACUUCCAGAAUUUUUUAAUCCAGCCUCUCCACCAGAACCAAAAAGAAUAAAGCAACAGAUUUUCACAAGAUGAAAGGACCACAUGCUUCUUACCUUUAAUGCAUGGCGUAAAGGGUUCCUUUCCUUUAUUUCUUUUGCUAAUGAUAGCCGGCCCUCCCCAUUUCCAUCUGAGGCAGGUAGCAGAUCAAAAACAAUAAUAUCUAAAGGCUGAGGAUGAAAAGGAUCUUCCAGCAAGGCCAAGAAUCCAGGUUUCAAUACAGCCCACACCUGCAUAAAAAUUCAAGAAUGUGAUAAAAUGAAAAUGUAAGAAGAACAAAAAAACAAAUGCAGACGUACUAUCAAAGGACGAUAAAAAAGAGAAACACUUGUGCAACAUGGUACAGAAUAUAAAUCACACACUAAAAUUUUUCAUAUUUAACCACAAUUUAAUGUUAACACUGUUAACAAUUCACAAACAAAACUGAGGGAACCACAGGUUUGUCAGUACGUGCCGUUAUAUGGCACAUAGAGUAGAGAUGAACUAGGGUGAAAGAAAAACAAAUAACAAAGGAGAUUAUAAAUAAAUGUGCAAGCAUAAUAAAUUAAAAGAAUGAGAGUAUAGGAUCUAGGAUCAUGGUACUCCCAGAUAUGAAAAUAUAAUGCAGAUAGUGAGCAAGAAAUCCAAUAACAGUAAGCCUACAGCCCUGUUAAUAGGCCAGAGGGCAGGUCAAAACCUUCAAGCUACAUUUGGUUCAUGGAAUGGGAUGGUUGUUGCUUUCCAUUCCAUCAAUUCCAGUAUUUGGUUAUGCACAACGUUUUUCUUUUAGAAUUUUAAUAGGUUUGUGGCACACAUAACACACCUAGGGAUGUGAGUUUGCAAAAAUGAUUGCUAUGAAUGGGUUUUAAAAUAAUUGAAGUGACAAGCAGAUCCUUUUAUUUGUUACUCAAAUUACAAUAAUAUCAUAUUGUCCAUCAAACUAUCUUUAGAAAGUAAAUUAAUUUGAACUUUUGUAGAAGGUAAAUGACAAAUUACGAAAAUAUUCUAGAAAAAAAAAAUUAAUUACAAUUCUAAUAGAGUGCAUAAUAUACAUUGUGGGCCCAAAUCCAAUAUGCUUAAGCUUUUAGGAAAAUUAGUAUUUUAACAUGACAUCAAAGCCUUGUUUAGUGGGAGAUCAAGAGUUCGAGCCUCACCAUUGCAUGUUUAAUUACCCAAUUUAUUUUUUUAAUCAGAAACAAACAUAUUUAGUAAUUAAAAAAACAUAAGAAGGAUGAGAAGUCCUCCCCAGGAUGUACAAACCUGCUCAAAAGAACUAAGAAAACCUCUGCUAAAAAAGGAAUGCUAUACAAAAAAGACAAAAGGCCUAUACAAGUAUAACCACUUCAGACCCAAUUUUUAUUUACCUAAUUUAUUAAGUCCAUAAACCCAAAAAUGGAGGUUACAUCUAAGGGAGGAUGUUAAAGUGCAUGAUAUACAUUGUGGGCCCAAAUCUUAUAAGCUUAAACUUUUAGGAAACUUGGUAGGUCAAUACUAAACAAAAUCUUUUGUGAUGAAUUUUUUUUCAUAAAUAAAAUAUACUUGUCUGAAAAAACUGGAACAAGAAUUAGAUAAUUAAAAACAUAAAGAAUAAUAAAGUUGUUAUUAGUCAAAAUUUAUCAUAAAAGGCUUCACAAAAGCACAUAUCUUUUUAAUGGAACUUUAUUUUUUGUUAUCAUUACUUAGAACCAUUACAGAAAUCUAUGAUUAAAGUAGAUCAUAUUUUAACACCACCAGGUAGAUAAGAAACUUCUCAAAACCUCGGAAUUCCAAUAUGGAAAUGUUCAAUUGAAACAGAACCUUUUCAAGAUACCAUUAAAUAUAAUUUUUUUUUAGGAUAAGAUUGCAUUACCUUUUGCCAAUUGUCAUUGCAACAACUGAACCAAGGACAUGGGCAACAUUUUCUAGUAUCGUCUUCCUUUGGAAUUUUUGGUAAAUGCUUGACCAUCACAUAAUCUUCUUUCAGCUUUGGGCCAUAUUCCGGAGAAAAUGAUAACUUCGAAACCUCCAAAAAUUUGCAAACCUACAGCAUAGAAUAACCCACUGUAAGAACCAGGUACUAUGCAGUGGUGCCACUCUCAAGCACACCACUCGUGCAUGGUGCCACCUGUUUCAUUUAUUUGAAUAAUGCUAAAAAAUAUAUUCAUUUCAUUCUCAGUUGUCCCUCUCAAGGACUUCACCAGUUGACAAUUUCUUUUAACAUAUAUGAAUAUUCUUCUGAUGAUGCUUUUUUGAAUUUGAAUAUAUUUUGCUUUUUUUAUAUAAAUUUUUUUUUAUUUAUAAAAUAACUGAAUAAACCUUAGAGAUAAAAAAUAAGAAAUAAAAUUACAAAGAUAUUAUUUAAUAAAAUUUAUUACCAUUUUUUAAAAUUCUUCUUAGAAGUAUAAAUUUUUUAUAUAUAAAAAAAGACACAUAAUUAUUUAAAUAUGGCUUUUUUUUACAAAUAUAUUUUUCUAUAAAAAUAGAAAAUCGGUUUACUAUUAAAUUUUGAGAACAUAUUGGUUGUUUCAAUUUAUAGGCAACCAUAUGCACAAUGACCCAAAUUUGAUUUUUUUUAAAAAAAAUUAUUUCUACAAUAUUUUUAAAAUGUUAUUUAAAUUUUUGUAUUUUUAAUUGAAAAAACUACUCUUUCUUAUGUUAAGGCCCUUCCCCUCCCUCCCUCCCUCCCCCUCCCCAAAAAGAAAAGACAAACAUUUCUACACCCCUAGGGAGAGUGUACAUUCAGUUGAAGACAAAUACAUAAUAUCAUAAAACAAUACAUAAAAUUUUAACUAGCAAUUAGACACCCAUUUUUGACAACAGCAACUAAAAGAUUGUUCUAUUGACAAAGAGAUAAUUAAAGGAAGAAUUAUGGAAUAGUAGACCAUUUAAAAAAAAAAAAAGGAUUUUGUUAGAACCCAAACUUAACCUUUUCAUAUCAAAUACAUAAUAAGAUAAAAUAAUCCCACAAGACAUGCAGACGAGUAAUUAUGAUGGAAUUCCAAAAUUGCCCAUUAAAAAAAAAAGUUGUCCAAAACUCCACAUAAACUCUCUUGCUAUGUAAACAUCCACAUGGUAGCAAAAGAGGGAUUGCCACACAAGCCCAUGCCCACAGUUUUAAAAGGCACAAGGAGCACCUAAAGUGCAAAAGUCUCCUACAUCGUAGGUGCAAGGCACAACACAAGGCACACACUUGAGCGACAUAAAAUGUGACCUAAAAUGCAUAUCAAUUUUAUAAAAUAUGAUUCAAAAUAUAAUAAAAUCAAUAAAAAUUUAAGAUUCCAAACAUGUAAGAGAACGAUUCAAUAAAAGAGAAACGAAAAUAUAUAAAUUUCAAUAUGUUGUUAGAAAUUUAAAAAGUAAAAGUGUUUGAAAGGGAAAAGUAAAAUAGACGAGGUGCAACUCUCCAACAAAACGCAUGCCUUGGCAAGCAAUGCACUAUAACUAGGGAGUGGUUGCUCCUUGAACCUAGGUGUGUGCCUUCUAAAACUAUGCCCAUGCCAUUAAAAAAAAAAAAAAAAAUGAAAGAACCCAAGCCCUAACCUAUUUCUCAUCAAAGCACUUUCCCUCCCACAACACUUACCAUGUCAAACCAAAUUUAAAGCCAUAACCAAGCCAAAAUCCACUCUAUCUCUACAAAGAUAUUGAAAUCUACUCUAGUUUUUCAUUUGAUGCCCAAAUCUAAUUCAUCUAUUGCAACCCAUGCUCAACAGUGGUUGGCCCCUCAAAAGUCCUUGUACUUUGAGUCCCUAAUCAUCCAUCCCCAUCAAUGUGUUUAUAUAUAUGGGUGUUUCUUUUUGUAAUGUUAUUCACUUUCAAAUGUCUUAGGUUUAGAUCUUUUUGUAAUUUUUCAAAGCUCUAGUUUCAUUGAGGUUGUUUGUAAUUUUUUUUGUGAUUUUGAAAAAAAGAAAAAAAAAAUGGAAUGAACUUUAUGUUGAUUUAGUUGUAUCCAAUUGAAGGUGCAAGAAGUGAAAAAUAGUUGUGAAUAGAGUAAACAAUUAUUAGCUAAAGGAAUUUAAUUAAUGAAAAGAAAUGAAUGAAAUGGAUUUCAUUUCUUAGGUUUUCAUAGAAGGUUUCAAUACAACUUCUGCAUUUUGUUGGUGCUAUGUGGUUUUGGGUUCUUUUCCUUUUCAAUCCUGAUGUUUUGUUGUUUUUUGGGUUCUUUAUACUCUCUUCCGACAUAGCAUAGAAUCAAAACAACAAAGCACAAAGGGAAAAGAAACCAAAACAAUAUAGCACCCAACAAAAUACAAAACUUCCACGGGAACCUUCUAUCAAACACUAAGAAACAAGAUCCAAUUUCAUUCAUUCCUUUUUCAGUAAUUAAUUCCUUUAGCUUAUAUAGAAGCAUAAAAAAGCUCAUUCUUUACUACUAUUUUUGGUAUAGGCUCUUAAACUAUAUACAACUAAAUCAACAUAAUGUUCAUCCCAAAUUUUUCCACAAAAUCACACAAAAAGUUUAUCAAACAACAUGAAGAAAUAUUGAGCUUUGAAAAAUUACAAAUAAGCUCAACCUAAGGCAUUUGAAAGUGAAUAACAUUAUAAAAAAAUGCACACAUACAUAUAAACAUAUCGACGGGAAUGGAUGAUUAGAGACCUGAAAACUUACCAAUCUUUUGAAAAAGAAAAGAGAUCUGAAUGGAGCCAAAGUACCACGGUUCUUGAGGGCUGAUUAGUGUUGAACGUGACAAUAGAUGGGCUGGAUUAGGGUGUCAAAUGCAAAGCCAGAGCAAACUUCAAUAUUGCUGCAGAGUUAGAGUGGACUUCAGCAUGGUUAGGGGUUCAGAUUUGGUUAGGGCCUUUGAUUUGGUUUAGCGAGGUAAGUGUCAUGAGAUGGAAGGUGCUCAAACAAGAAACAGGUUAGGGCCUUGGUUCUUUUAUUUUGGGGGUUUCUUUCUUAUUUUUUUCUUUUUAUAAGUCCACCUGUCAUGCCAAGUUAGAAUGCUUACAUGGCAUGGGCUAGUUGGCAAAUCCUACUUUGGCUGCCAUGUGGAUGUUUAUGUGGCAAGAGAGUUUCUGAAAUUUUGGAGAAAUUUUUAAAAAAAUAGCAAUUUUGGAAUUCCAGUAUGAUUAUUGUUCCAGUGCAUGUUUUGGGGAAUUAUUUUACCCCAUUGUGCACUUGUUAUGGAAAGGUAAAGCUUGGGUUCUUAAAGAAUCCAUUUUUUUAGAUGGCAUACGGUUGCAUAAUUCUCCCCCAAUUAAAGAAAUGUGAAGUUCCAAAGUUCAAGUAUGAACAUUACAUACCUCAAGAGUUAUAAAAAGAGCAGAAAUCAAAUAACUAAACACAACGCAUCAAUUAAUUGGAAGUUUUCUAUUAUCAAAAUGAUGUGACUAGAAUGUUUAGGUAGGAAUAUCAUUUCAAGAACAUUAGUGUGCAUCAGAAUAAGGAGCCGAAGAAGACUUGAAAAUAAACCUUCGGUAUAGAGAAUUUAGUACCAUUAUAGACACUAUUGGGAGCAUCCAAAACAAAUGAAGAGCCAUAUGGUAGUUUUUAGGGUACUUCCACAAGGAAUCAAACCAGGAAUCUUCUCUAUCCCCACCCCAACACCUUACUACUUGAACUAGGCCUCAAGGAUUAACAUCGUAUAUCCACCUUAAGAGAAGCAGGGUGUUAAAUGCUACGUAAUAAAGCAUUAGCAUUAUCAAGGACCCCUUGUCAGUGCAUUAAUCCAAAUGAAGAGAUUUAAGAUUAAAAACUUUGUCAAAGCAGCACAAGACCUGAAAUAGAGGGUUUUUUUUUUUUGUUAGGAUGCAAAUCUUGCAAGAGAGGUAGUGUGCUUUUCUUUUUUUUGGUGGGCUUAGUGGCAGAGAGAGGAAUUUGAAGUAUUCUUCAGAGACAUGGAAGCAAUAAAUUUUGAAUUUAGAGUGACCAAAACUCUAAUCGAAUUAGAUAAUCUAUUCUCAAUCCAUGAACACAAGCCAAAACAGUGAUUAAAACUCUAACUGAAUUAGACAAUCUAUUCUCAGCCCAUGAACAGAAGCCAAAGCAGCAGGGCAUUAUAGGACUUAUAAUAAGACAGAAGAAACUCAUUUAUUGCAUAUUAGGAGCAUAGAUGAUAAUUGAAAGGGUUCUACCUCUUUGCAGAUGACAUAAAUAUAACUAGCAAAAAAAAAAAAGAAAAGAAUACAGACAACUAACUAAAGGUAUCUGAAUUCAAAUGACUCAAAAUAAGAGAGGCAUCACUAUGUUCAAAAUGAGGAGCUUAAACAUACCUCUCGGGAGUUUACUAUAUCCAAAUUUCCAAGAAAUAGAUUAAGAUACCCUUGCAUUGCAACCUUUGCUCUAUCAGAAACAGAAUUCUGCCUUCCCAGGGCUGGCCGAAUGAUUGGCAGAGCAGCACUAGAUGGAAUAUCUCUGGAAAAAAAAAAAAAAAGGCCACCCAUAAGAACUCUAGCAGUACACAGAUGUGCUUUAUUUUUAGCAUCCAUCUGACAAGAACAAGAUCCAGCAAUCACCUGUUUUUAACACUUUCAUCAUGAUGUAAAGGAACAGUUUCCUCAUCAGGUUCAUCAUCAUCAUGCACGACUGCUGUGUGCUCUCCUAUUCCUAUGUUUUGAAGCCAUUCUUUAACCUUUAAAUGUUAAAUAAAAACUAUAUCAAAAACCCCACACCUUCCCAACUAAACAAUAAAUGGGAGAAUCUUCCCGAACUUACGUUAUCAGAUACAAUAAAAAACAAGGAAAAAAGAAUGAAGCACACCUGCUCUUGCUUCUCUUGAAUUUCCUCGAUAAUUACUCGUUUUUUUAACGCAAAGUGUAAAAAGAAUACUUGUGAAGCUUUCUUUAUUAACCGCCACUUGAACUGAAGUAUAAGAACAAAAGAUUAGUACACCAAAUUUUAAGGUGUUCACUUCCAACAAAAAGGAAAAGGCACCACUAUGUAUUGGGGACAGAAAAAGGAAAAGAAAUAAGAGAAAUAUCACACUGACGGAGAAUAAAAACCUAAAUUUUGUACGGUAUACAACAACAUGAAAAUCGUAUUCAGAGUUGAAAAUUCAAUAAAUUUCCACUAUAAGAUUGUUGUUGAUCUGCCAGCAUUAAAAGAAAAUUAUCAUUAUCAUUGUUACCGUUCUCAUUGAAGGAAGAGGACACACCUCUCUCCUAGGUGUCUCAUUUCACACUUGCCAUAUGUAAAAUGAUGUAAAUAACUGUAUUUUACCCUUAUGAUACAAAAUGAAAGAAUGCAAUGAUAAUUACACAAUAAUAAUCCUACAAAACUUCUUUUUGUGCAUGUUACAUCUACAUGCUUGACAUUUACCAAAUGUUAAUUCCUAGUGUUCAUGUACGAGUUUCACUAUCAUGGCCAUAGCAUGUGUAUGCAUCUACUGUGAAUAUUAAAGGCUAUGUACAGUAGGGCACCAAAAGUAAGUGGCCUAACCUGUUUUAUAAUUUAUCAUGCUUGAACUCCACAUAACAAUAAAGAAAAUCACAUUGAUUGACAAAAAAGGUAAUGAUCUUACUUAGCAUGAGUGAUACUCAUUUCCUUGCAAAUGAAAUGGAUAACAAUGCAGUUGAAUCAAUCAUAUAAUUUUAAGUUUAAUUCAUUUAUCACAAUCUUGAACCUAAAAACCCCAAAAAGACUGAUAUCAGCUUAUUCAAUAAAUCAAUUUUAAUCAAGUCAAUGUGAUUUGAACCUAACCUAAGUUUCCAACCAAGAAACCAUCUAAAGUUGCCGAAUUCAACUAAGCUCAACCUCCGAUAAAAUAAUCAUCAAACGCUAUUGCCUUCGGUUUCAAGAAACCGAGGGUUAUUAAGAACUUAUAAAAUCGGAAAAUAACAGCAACUCUAACCCCAACCUGGAAUAAAAAUCAAAAAGGAACUCCAAAUUAUUGUUCAUCUGACUCUUUUCUUUUUCUUUUUCUCGCAAAGCAAACAGAGGCGUAAAAAAUAAAUCCAGAGAACAACAAUGAAAAAUAAAAAUAAAAAAACGAAACGAUCUUGCCUGUUUAUAUCGGAAUUCAAUGGUGUAAGUUAACAGCGCGGGGCUGAUGUCGCUGGCAUCGGGCCGAGAGACGAACACGAUUGUGGCCUUGGGCAACUCGUCGAAAAUCCGAGUUGACUCCGGGCUCUGGCGGAAGCUGAAGAACGACGAUAUCGUCGACGGCAUCGGCUCCGAUUGCAUUUGAAUGUAGCGUGCCCCAGCGCCGGACAUCAAGUCCUCCGACGCCAUUGAUUCCGAUCAGACUCUGAAGUCUCUCAGUCCCUCCCCUGAGAAUUUUGAUUGAAAAUAGAGAGCCGUUCAACGCCUUGUUACGAUGGCUCCGGAUCCAAGUUCCAGAGAGAGAAAGCAACAAAGAGAGAAAGGGCCGGAAAUUGUUGGUUUUGGUUUUGCUUCAAAUAAAAACAACUGCUCUACAACUACGUCAAAAUCUGGAAACUCAUAUUGAAUUUUGCCAUUUCAUGUAUAUGGGUUUCGGAUCUAAUACAAUCCGGAUGGUUCAAUGAUCCGAACCGGAAAAUUCAUAUCGGAUUCUUAAUCCAACGAAACUUUUAAUCACGUUUGGCUGCCACGCUUCCACGUGUCUCCCAUAAUUUUCAUCAUCUAUGAGAUGAGGGAAGUAGGCACGCCUGAACUAAUGUUUUGAAAACUAUAUACUAUUUUCACCAAGUUUCUAGACGCUUCCCUAUAAAUUAUAAUUGGGAAAUUUCCAAAUUAUCCUUCUUAUUUUUAAUUAUUUCUUAUAACACAGUAUAUAAAAUAAAAUAAAAAAUAUCUAAAAUUUAUUGACUCGAAAAAUUAAUUUUUAUUCUACAAAACGAAAAGUUGUUUUUAAGAAGAGUGUUAAAUGUUCAGAGUUUUUUAUUGGUCUGUACAAAUUUUCAGAGAAGGAAUAUUAGUUGAUACACAAAGGAAGAUGCCACCAUAUUCCCCCUUUGGUAGUUGCCUUGAUUGACUUGGAAAUGAUUGAACCAAAGGAAGUCGGUGGCUCGCAGUCGCAGACACCUAUUUCUUAAUUAUUAUUUAAGAUAUAUAUAUUUUCUCUGUUGGUUUCGUGCCAGACUUGUAGAUGAAGCAUGGCAAGCAACCAAACUGGCAUGCGAUGCAUGAUUAAAUUAUUUCAGAUUUCGUGAAUUAAUGGAUAAAAUUAUGGGUUCCAUGUAACCAUUUUAUUUAAUCAUCUUCCAAGGGUUUAUCGCUUAUUUUUAACAUUGGGUACAAAUUAAUUUUUGUUAAGCACACUUUUCUCUUGACAACAAGAAUAUGACAUAAAAAAAUUAUGAUAUCAAAUUCAAUAUCAUACCAAAAUUUCAAUAUAGAUGGUUGAAAUGCAGAAUGAAAUCUAAGUUAUUUAAUGAGGGUAUAAAUAAGUGAAAUCAAAAUAGAAAGUAAUAGAAUAAGGUAUAAAUAGGAUCAAAGUGUAAAUAUGGCACAUUCUCAUUAGUGACCCCUUUUCAAGUACUGGUUCAAAGGGAUGAUUUCAGCCAUUAAAAUGUAUGUUUUGUUAUUUUUAAAUCGCAGCUUAAUAUUACAACUAUAGUAUAUAUUUAGAGAAGGUGGGAGGGUCGUGGAAUUUGUUUGCUUGGGAGUAAUGGUAACUCAAUAUAUGAAUAUGUGCCCAUAUUGGUUUACAGCUAGAUGGCAUGGGGCAAAGAAUUGGACCACAUGGAUAACAGCCAAAAUAUUUUGGGCAUUGGACCACAUUGGGCUCCCAGGGGCUUCUUUCUAAAUACAGCAAAUUUUGAAAGUUAUUUUUAAAAAAUGAUAAUAUUUUGGAGGGAUUAUAGGAGCUUGGCUGAUAAGAUCAAGAACCACCUGGAUGGUGCUACCAUCAAAAUUUGCAAAGCACAAUCUCAAGAAUAACAGCAAUCCACAUCCCGAAUUGAAUCUUGAGGCUUAAAGCAUCAAUUGUUUUUAGCAAUCUUGAAUUCAUAACAAUAACUCGUCCCAACCCAGCGAAGCACAGAGGUAAGUAGCCCUGAUACUAAAAUCCAAAAAUAAAUAAACAUUUAAAAAAAAAAAAAAAAAGAUAUGCUACUGUUUGAAUAUACCGUUCCAAUUUCGGAAAAAAAUGACCUCAAUGCAUUAAGGUGCAACGGGACUCAAGACAUUUUUAGCCGCUGCUUUGUAAUCGGCUUUGAGCAAAGCAGCAAGAAGAGAACAAGACAAACAAGAUCAACUCCAAACAUUAUGAACAAAGCAAACUUUUAAGACCCAAAACUGUGCUUUCAACUAAUACGAGUAAAUUCUUAUGUUUAACUGAAGCAUGCACACAUAAUUUAAUGGUUCGCUGAAAUCAUAAAUGAACAAAGCACUCAACAUAUGGGAAAGUACCUAAAACUUAAUAGAGGUUCAAGAUUUCUUAUAAAGAAAAAAUUGGCCACAAAAAGAGAACAAUAUUGGAUUAAGAACAAAAUCCUACUGCAGAAAACCAAGAGAUUGUCAUCUGUUGUUAUCAGUUCUUCAAUGUUCAUGGUAGAGGCACCUCUCAUCACUUCUUGGCCUUUUUAGUUCCCCUACAAGAGAGAGAGAGGGGUUAGAUCCACCUGUUUCAAAUAGAUGGAUAAAACAAAAUUUCACAUUUCUUACUCAGCAGGCUGGGGUGCAGAUGCUGGUGGUGCCCUUUCCACAGGUCCCUGAGU
rnacentral:lncRNA from 1 species